CUAAUACUCCCUCCGUCCCAAAAUUCUUGUCUUAGAUUUGUCUAGAUACGGAUGUAUCUAAUACUAAAAUGUGACUUGAUACAUCCGUAUUUAGACAAAUCUAAGAGAAGAAUUUUGGGAUGGAGGGAGUAGUUA
rnacentral:pre_miRNA from 1 species